rnacentral:tRNA from 1 species
AAAAAAUUAGUUAAAAUCAUAACAUUAGUAUGUCAAACUAAAAUUMUUAAAUAACUAAUGUUUUCUA